AUGCAUAUGAGUGAGGAGGAUAUUGAUGCUGAUGCGUUGCGGUGUUGUGUGGUUUCAAUGAAGACCAUUGAUAAUGAUGAAGAAUCGAUAAAGAUUCUCGAACCUCGGCCGAAAAUCUAUGAAGAUGCGGUGAUGCCGGAAAGAGUGAACGUUGAGGAUGGUUUCUGCAGAGAGAAUACAGAGAUUGAGAAUGAAAGGUUCCAAGAAUGA